CGUAAGCGCGCGUAGGUGGUUCGUUAAGUUGGAUGUGAAAGCCCCGGCCUUUAAAUGGGAACUGCAUUCAAAACUGACGAGCUAGAGUAUCGUUAAAGGUGGUGGAAUUUCCUGUGUAGCGGUGAAAUGCGUAGAUAUAGGAAGGAACACCAGUGGCGAAGGCGACCUUCUGAAAUGAUACUGACACUGAGGUGCGAAAGCGUGGGGAGCAAACAGGAUUAUAUACCCUGGUAUUCCACGCCGUAAACGAUGUCAACUAGCCGUUGGGAGCCUUGAGCUCUUAGUGGCGCAGCUAACGCAUUAAGUUGACCGCCUGGGGAGUACGGCCGCAAGGUUAAAACUCAAAUGAAUUGACGGGGGCCCGCACAACCGGUGGAGUAUGUGGUUUA
rnacentral:rRNA from 1 species